AGAGUUUGAUCCUGGCUCAGGACGAACGCUGGCGGCGCGCUUAACACAUGCAAGUCGAGCGAGAACCGGACCUUCGGGUCCGGGGACAGCGGCGAACGGGUGAGUAACACGUGGGUGACCUGCCCUCAGCUCUGGGAUAAGCCUGGGAAACUGGGUCUAAUACCGGAUAUGACCUGCUGUUGCAUGACAGUGGGUGGAAAGUUUUUCGGCUGGGGAUGGGCCCGCGGCCUAUCAGCUUGUUGGUGGGGUGAUGGCCUACCAAGGCGACGACGGGUAGCCGGCCUGAGAGGGCGACCGGCCACACUGGGACUGAGAUACGGCCCAGACUCCUACGGGAGGCAGCAGUGGGGAAUAUUGCGCAAUGGGCGAAAGCCUGACGCAGCGACGCCGCGUGGGGGAUGACGGCCUUCGGGUUGUAAACCUCUUUCGACCGGGACGAAGGGUGACUGACGGUACCGGUAGAAGAAGCACCGGCCAACUACGUGCCAGCAGCCGCGGUAAUACGUAGGGUGCGAGCGUUGUCCGGAAUUAUUGGGCGUAAAGAGCUCGUAGGCGGUGUGUCGCGUCGGUCGUGAAAACUUGGGGCUUAACCCUGAGCGUGCGGUCGAUACGGGCAUCACUUGAGUUCGGCAGGGGAGACUGGAAUUCCUGGUGUAGCGGUGAAAUGCGCAGAUAUCAGGAGGAACACCGGUGGCGAAGGCGGGUCUCUGGGCCGAUACUGACGCUGAGGAGCGAAAGCGUGGGGAGCGAACAGGAUUAGAUACCCCCGUAGUCC
rnacentral:rRNA from 1 species